AUGGAGCUUGUGACUCUUAAUCUUGGGGUUGUGAGUUUGAGCCCCACGUUGGGUAUAGGGAUUACUUUAAAAUUAAAAGAAAAUUUGUUUUUUAAAAACAGACUUUUUUUAUUUUAUAUAGUUUUGUCUCACAAGCAUUAUGCAAGAUUUUCAAAGGAAAUGAGCUUGGAACACCAUUUGAGCAACUGGGCAAGCACGCAGGUCCAUAAAUGGCAUCUCCAGCAGCACGAAAAGAUCCGUUUGCAAGUGUUGGCACUGGCUCCAGCUUUUCAGUUCGUGAUGACUUGUGUGAAGAUCAACAGAGAAGCAAGCUUCAGAAUGAGAGAACCAGGCAAUUGAACAAAAUGUGAGUGGGGAAGUGGAAGGAAAGGGAGGUAGAGGGUGUGGUAUGGGAAGAGAAAGAGAAGGAAGAGUGAGGGUCCCAGGAAACACAGGGAGGAAGAAAGCAGACAUUAAGAACAUUUCUGCAAUGGAAAUAUCCUGUCCAAGUCCCUUCAAGUCCUGACCUGAUAAACGCUUACCCUAUUUAUUACUUAAAUCGCUCUCAUUUUGCACUGACCAACUGGCAAGUUCUUUAGAAUUGUUUGUAAUUUUUCCUGUGCCUACUUGGCUUCACAAUUAGAUGCCAGCUCCUCUAGUCUCUGUGUGGUCUCUGGACCAGCAACAGCCCCAAGGAGCUUGGCAGAAAGGUGGACUCUCAGGCCCCACUCUGGCCAUGCUACAUCAGAACCUGUAUUUUAACAAGAUUGCUGUAUGAUUCUUGGGUGCUUUAAAGAUUGAGGUGGUGCCCCACAACUCCAGAAACGAAUGAGGAAAAGAGUGACAGUGAAUGUGUUUGUGAUGAGGAGGCUGAUAUAAAGGAGUAUGCACCUGCCAUAGGCUCUACUCUUUGGGAGCCUAAUGGAAGCCAGGCAGCAGAGAGGCUGGUAGUGAGCUAUCACAAACUAGGGAAACCUGGUAAGACCCUAAGUGAGUGAGUCUGAAAGUCCAGUGCACAUCAGAAUCACGCGAAAGCUUGUUAAACAUAGAUUGCUAGUUCCUCCCUCCAUCUUCCAGAACUUCUGAUUUAAUAGUUCUAGGGUGGACCUGAGAAUCUAAAUGUUUAGCCAGUUCCUAGGUGACGCUGAUGGUGCUGAUCCAAGGACAACACUUUGAGAACAACUGAUCCAAGCCAUAAAGAUAUUCAGAUAAAAGAAUCUCCCUUCUACAAAUUAUUCGGGAUAAUUAUGGUCUCAAAUCCCCUAUUGAAUUUGCCAUUGGAGACCAGACCACUUUACAAUGACUUCCAGAAAGAGGCCCUCGUGGGAAAGCCCUGAUGCAUUUCGACCAGCUGUGUUGGGUUGAGAGCUAAUUAGGAGGGAAGCUAGCUAGAAUGGUCCUGCUUUCCCAGCCGUGUUAUCCAGCAAACCCAGAGACAGUAGGUUGGUAAAGAAAAUUACACAGAUGCGACCCGGAAGCUGUCAUUUCACUGGGGAAGGUUUUGCCUUUUCAUUACAAGAGAAAGCUAACAUUUCCCAUCUUUCCUUCUACCAAAAGUAGGCACGCAUAUAAAACCAAAGUCAAUUUCUUACAAUUUAGUAACCUCAGUACCAACCAAUUAUAUUCUGGGACAUGAGAAACAGCUGUUGUAACAUUAGAGCUUGAACAGUUCCAUCUCAGCUAUUUAAAGGGAUAAAAGAGCCAAUAUUUUCAUUCCCUUGUGAUAUUAUCAAGACAUGAUAAACAACCAAGACUAUAGUAUUAAUUACAUUAAUUUG
rnacentral:lncRNA from 1 species